rnacentral:rRNA from 1 species
GGAGGGUGCGAGCGUUGUCCGGAAUCAUUGGGCGUAAAGGGCGCGUAGGUGGCGGGACAAGCGUGCGGUGAAAGCUCGGGGCUCAACCCCGAGUCGGCCGUGCGAACUGUUUUGCUUGAGCACUGUAGAGGCAGGCGGAAUUCCGGGUGUAGCGGUGGAAUGCGUAGAGAUCCGGAAGAACACCGGUGGCGAAGGCGGCCUGCUGGGCAGUAGCUGACACUGAGGCGCGACAGCGUGGGGAGCAAACAGGAUUAGAUACCCUGGUAGUCCACGCCGUAAACGAUGGGCACUAGGCGCUUGGGGGAGCGACCCCCCGAGGGCCGGCGCUAACGCAUUAAGUGCCCCGCCUGGGGAGUACGGCCGCAAGG